CCCCCCCCGGGGGCCCGAGUUGUAAUCUGGAGAGGAUGCUUCUGGCGCGGCGCCCGGCGAGUUCCCUGGAACGGGACGCCGGAGAGGGUGAGAGCCCCGUACUCCGGGCCGCCUAGCCUCUGCGAAGCUCCUUCGACGAGUCGAGUAGUUUGGGAAUGCUGCUCUAAACGGGAGGUAAAUUUCUUCUAAAGCUAAAUACCGGCCAGAGACCGAUAGCGCACAAGUAGAGUGAUCGAAAGAUGAAAAGCACUUUGAAAAGAGGGUCAAACAGUACGUGAAAUUGUUGAAAGGGAAGCGCCCGUGGCCAGACUUGCGCCCCGCGGCUCACCCGGCGGACCCCGCCGGGGCACGCCGCGGGGCGCAGGCCAGCAUCGGCUUCCCCAGGGGGACAAGGACGGCGGGAACGUGGCUCCUCCGGGAGUGUUAUAGCCCGCCGCGCCAUGCCCCUGGGGGGGCCGAGGACCGCGCUUCGGCAAGGAUGCUGGCGUAAUGGCCACCGGCGAC
rnacentral:rRNA from 2 species